CAGUGUUUCAAUUUCAAAAUAGUUUUGUUAAAAAAUGAUUGGUUUAUUAAAAAGAAAAAAUAAAAUAAAAACACAGCAAAGCAGAACUUUUUACUUGUUAGGAUAUUCUACAGUUGGCAGCAGUUCAGCAGACUGUCUAUGAAUCAUAGUUCUAUGAAUUUUUAAUUUAUAACCUCAAUAUUUUUCUAAUGUCAACUGUUUAAUGUACCACAUAAACUUUUUGAAAAAUAAGCAAUAGCAUAGUUUUUUCAUGUUUUGAUUAUUAGUAAGCAGCCAGUAGCACCAUUCAUGUCGCCCAUAAAUCAACAGUACAGUUGGAAAUAAAUAUAGAAAUAGGUGAAUUAAGAUAUCAAAAGAGCAGGAUCACCUUGGACUACAAAAAUACAUGUUGGUUCAUUAAUUUAUAUGAAUGACUUAUUUUGCAAGGAUGCAUUGAAAUAUUUAGGACUAAUUUACAUCCAGGAAUUGGAGGAAGUAUAAAGAAAACCAUUCGAAAAUCAUGUGUUUCAUUUAGAUGACUAUAAUGCUGAAUUGUGCAGGCUCAUUCAGAGUUAUAUUAGUUUAAAACUUAUAGUAUGAUGUAACAGUAUUUGUUUAGUUAAUAAUUUGGUGCAUACCCUUGUUUGGGCAAGUAUUGUUAGUGCCCAAGGUGACAUAUAUAAACUUCACAGUUGCUGAAACAUCGAAUUUCCAAUUUUUAUUAGGUAAAAGGGCCAACAUUUUUCAAUUACAUGCAAGCAAUUUCUAUUAUGUUUAAAAAGGCUUUAAAUCGUAAUUGCCACGUUAUUACGAAAUACAAAUGUUGCCAUUUAUAUUUCAACUUUAAAUUGUGAUUAGCCUCAAUUGUUCCAUUAUAUGUAAAAUUGUUGACUGUGAACAUAAAUUAUAAUAUACAUACAACUACAUUAA